rnacentral:rRNA from 1 species
UACGUAGGGGGCAAGCGUUGUUCGGAUUCAUUGGGCGUAAAGGGUGCGUAGGCGGCGCGGUAAGUCGGGUGUGAAAUCUCGGGGCUUAACUCCGAAGCUGCAUUCGAUACUGCCGUGCUUGAGGACUGGAGAGGAGACUGGAAUUUACGGUGUAGCGGUGAAAUGCGUAGAUAUCGUAAGGAAGACCAGUGGCGAAGGCGGGUCUCUGGACAGUUCCUGACGCUGAGGCACGAAGGUCAGGGGAGCAAACGGG